UACAGAGGGUGCAAACGUUGUUCGGAAUUACUGGGCGUAAAGCGCGUGUAGGCGGUGCGGUAAGUCGGGUGUGAAAGCCCUGGGCUCAACCCAGGAAGUGCAUUCGAUACUACCGUACUAGAGUCCCGGAGAGGUUGGUGGAACUCUCGGUGUAGAGGUGAAAUUCGUAGAUAUCGAGAAGAACACCGGUGGCGAAGGCGGCCAACUGGACGGUGACUGACGCUGAGACGCGAAAGCGUGGGGAGCAAACAGG
rnacentral:rRNA from 1 species